rnacentral:rRNA from 1 species
UAAACGGACCAUCGAGUAUCCAUUGGAGGGCAAGUCUGGUGCCAGCAGCUGCGGUAAUACCAGCUCCAAUAGCGUAUAUUAAAGUUGUUGCAGUUAAAAAGCUCGUAGUUGGACUUGUGUGCGCUGUCCGCGGGUGGCCUGCGCCCAAAAGGGCGUUUCGGUUCGGCCCCGGUGGCGCCUUGAAAUCUGCAGCUGGGGGGACGUUGGCCUUAACUGGUCGGCGACCGCACGCCGGCUGCUCGGUUACUGUGAGAAAAUUAGAGUGUUCAAGGCAGGCAUUGGGUGCAAUUGAAUACAUUAGCAUGGAAUAAUAAAAUAUGGCUCCUGCCGUAUUUUGUUGGUUUUGAUUGGUGGGAGUAAUGAUUGAUAGGGACGGUUGGGGGUGCUAGUAUUGAGCGGCCAGAGGUGAGAUUCAUGGAUUCGCUCAAGACUAACUUAUGCGAAAGCAUUCACCAAGGACGUCCUCUUUAAUCAAGAACGAAAGUUGGGGGAUCGAAGACGAUCAGAUACCGUCGUAGUCUCAACCAUAAACUAUGUCGACUUGGGAUCGGCGGUAGUUUUUUCAUUAAGACACUGUCGGGACCACGGGAGAAAUCAAAGUGUCUGGACUCUGGGGGAAGUAUGGUCGCAAGGCUGAAACUUGAAGGAAUUGACGGAAGGGCACCACCAGGAGUGGAGCCUGCGGCUUAAUUUGACCCAACACGGGGAAACUUACCAGGUCCAGAGAUGUAGAGGAUUGACAGAUUGAAGCUCUUUCUUGAUCACUUCGGUGGUGGUGCAUGGCCGUUCUUAGUUGGUGGAGUGAUUUGUCUGGUUAAUUCCGUUAACGAACGAGACCUCAGCCUGCUAGUGUAGUCGGCUGGAUUGCCUUUGGCGAUCCGUGAUUUCGACUUCUUAGAGGGACAAUCGACGCGCAGUCGAUGGAAGUUUGAGGCAAUAACAGGUCUGUGAUGGCCUUAGAUGUUCUGGGCCGCACGCGCGCUACACUGCUGGGCCCAGCGAGUUUUACUUGGCCGAGAGGCCCGGUUAAUCUUGUGAAAUCCCAGCGUGCUUGGGCUCGCCUCCUGCAACUGGAGGCGCCAACGAGGAAUUCCUAGUAGACGCAGGUCAUCAACCUGCAUCGAUUACGUCCCUGCCCUUUGUACACACCUCCCGUCGUUCCAUAAGAGUGAGGCAUCCGGUGAAUUCUCGGGAGAGCCUGGGCGUGGCCAGCAAUGGUCUGCUCGGGUUUGAACUUGCAUAAACUUGGUGCCUAUGAUUAGGG